rnacentral:lncRNA from 1 species
CAUGAGCAGCUAUAUUCAAAACACUGAACAACUGCAUUACUGAGUUUAACAUUAGCAAGCGGUGACCUAAUGGUAAUAGGCAAUCAAUUGCUAUUCAUCAUCUACUGUGUGCUAUUUCUCUGGAAGCUGCAUGCUCUUCUCCGGUGGUAGAUGUUUUAUAUAGAGGUGUUUCUUGGACCCUUGGAAGUGUGCUAAUGGUCACAAGGGAUUAUUCAGCAUUUGCAGAAAGAGCGUCAAUCACUGACUGAGGGCUGGAUUUCCCUUCUGUAUGUGUUUGCUCAGAAAUAAGGCAGUUUGAAUAAAGCUGUACAUGCAUUUACAUGUAAGAGUUCAAUGCUGUCAGCUGGGGACUAAAUGCAGAAAGAACCCUUCUGGUUUUGACUCUGCAAUACUCAACCUCCAUCAACCCUGGGGCAAGUACCUGGC